GCUUCUCUUAUCUUAUCAAUUAUGGCAAGCUCCUCUUCGUCUUUAUCUCAUAUAGGGGUGUUUCAUCUCUAUCUAUUUGGGAUCCGUUGGAGAGGAACAAUUAUAUGGUUUGGAAAAUACGUAUUAUUCUGUAUCGUGCAAACGAGCUUUCUGAAAUUAUCGACGGCAAAGAAAAUAGUCCCUUCGGUAGUACCUUAUGGGCUGGAGAUGGAGAGGUGUCUUUGGCACUCCGAGGUAUUUUAUUUUUUGAUUUUAUUGGGUAUACUUGUACUCGUUAGAUAUGAUCCACCCGCCUUUAAAAAAAAAGAAAAAAAAAGAAAAAGAAAAAGAAAAAGAAGAGAAGAAGAAGAAGAGGAAAGCUUGUAUCCAGUCCCGAUCCUGAGUUUCACACAUGGUGACUUUGCCGUGUCGUAUGAAGUCUGGAUCUCGCUUUGCUGAUACCUAUGCUUCACAAAACUUGGCUCGCUGUCAAUCAAUGUCUCGAUCUUCAACUUCAGGCACUUCGACGUGGUUCCGGGGCUGUCAUGGAGUAUCUCCAACAAGCAAAAAUAAUUGCUGAUAACCUUGAUGCCAUUGGCAGGCUGUUGCAAUUUGAGGAGUAUCAGACUUAUAAAUUUGUGGACAGCUUACCAAUGGCACAAGACCGGGUCCAUCUAAUAAUUUCUCUCUGGAUCUCAUCAAAACUUGUCGGAUACAAGUAUUUUCAUUGGAUGGGAUGGAGUUCUGAGAAGUUCAAGCAAUUUUACUUGUUUCUGUUACACUCUUAUUUAGAAGGUGGCUAAAGUUCUGGUUACUGAGUAUACAAAUCAGGAGAACUGAAGGCAUAUGAAUGGAUUUCUAGCUUUCGUUACCGAUAAUUCCGAGGUUUCACUAAUCCUCUGCUUUUCCGUUGUUACUCCCAAGCAUUUUUUGAUUAAAUGCCAGAAUCAUUAUGAGGAGCUGCACCUAGAAACCUUGUUUAAAAAAAAAAAAAGCUUGCGCAUAUAUGUGGGAUGGAUCUCUCAUGAAAUAUACACAUUUUCAUGUAGGUACUCCUUGGAUAAGCAAACUGGCACAUACAACAAGAUCCAAAAUGUUGCAUCUGUGGGAAGCUGAAGGCAUAUGUGCAGUUUAGAUCAGUGUAAUCAGUGUUGAGAAAGUAGUUUUGAUGCAUAAGACCUCUCAGAGAUAAUUGUAUUGGUGAUGUGUGUAGCAGGAGUUUAAAGAAAAUUUAUGCAAAAAUAAUCUGACAUUUUAUGAAUUUUUUUUCACCAUGUUUUCCUUCUGAUGGAACACUGUGAAUAAGUUUGCGCUGUGUCAAUGUUAUCUGCCA
rnacentral:lncRNA from 1 species